rnacentral:rRNA from 1 species
GACAGAGGGGGCAAGCGUUGCUCGGAAUUAUUGGGCGUAAAGAGCUCGUAGGCGGUUUGUCGCGUCUGCUGUGAAAACCCGAGGCUCAACCUCGGGCCUGCAGUGGGUACGGGCAGACUAGAGUGCGGUAGGGGAGAUUGGAAUUCCUGGUGUAGCGGUGGAAUGCGCAGAUAUCAGGAGGAACACCGAUGGCGAAGGCAGAUCUCUGGGCCGUAACUGACGCUGAGGAGCGAAAGCAUGGGGAGCGAACAGG